GAUAGCUGGUUCUCCCCGAAAUAGCUUUAGGGCUAGCGUCGGAAAGAACCUUAGUGAAGGUAGAGCACUGAAUGUGUGAUGGCCCCAUCCCGGGGUACUGAAUACAAUCAAACUGCGAAUGUCAUUAAGGAUGUCCGGCAGUCAGACUGUGAGUGAUAAGGUCCAUGGUCAAGAGGGAAACAGCCCAGACCGCCAGUUAAGGUCCCAAAAUACAGGCUAAGUGGAAAAGGAUGUGGGGAUGCCCAGACAACUAGGAGGUUGGCUCAGAAGCAGCCAUCCUUUAAAGAGUGCGUAACAGCUCACUAGUCGAGUGACCCUGCGCCGAAAAUGUACCGGGGCUAAGCCUGAUACCGAAACUGCGGAUUGUAGGAAACUAUAGUGGUAGGGGAGCGUUGUAUACGAGCAGAAGCCGUACCGUGAGGAGCGGUGGAUUGUAUAGAAGUGAGAAUGCCGGUGUGAGUAGCGAGAUGUAGGUGAGAAUCCUACACACCGAAAGCCCAAGGAUUCCAGGGGAAGGUUCGUCCGCCCUGGGUAAGUCGGGACCUAACGCGAGGCCGAAAGGCGUAGUGGAUGGAAAGCAGGCGAAAGAUUCCUGCACCCGUAUAUGGAGCGAAGGAGUGACGGAGACGGAUAGUGUGACCCUCUUAAUGGAUUGAGGGCGAAGCGAAGCGGCUGGUUACCAGGCAAAUCCGGUAACCAUAAGGCUAGAGCGUGACAGGUAAGCGAAAUCUUAGGAAAGUAGCGAAGCACAUGAUGACGGCUUCCAGGAAAAGCUUCUGGCAAUGCAUAUGCGGCCCGUACCAAAACCGACACAGGUGGGCAGGGAGAGAAUCCCGAGGUGAGCGAGAGAACUGUUGCCAAGGAACUCGGCAAAAUGACUCCGUAAGUUAGCGAGAAGGAGUGCUUAAAAGAGAGCCGCAGUGAAGAGGCCCAAGCGACUGUUUAACUAAAACACAGCUCUCUGCGAAGUCGCAAGACGAAGUAUAGGGGGUGACACCUGCCCGGUGCUGGAAGGUUAAGAGGAUCUGUUAAGAGCGAUCUGAAGCAGUGAUCCGAAGCCCCAGUGAACGGCGGCCGUAACUAUAACGGGCCUAAGGUAGCGAAAUUCCUUGUCAGGUAAGUUCUGACCCGCACGAAAGGUGUAACGAUUUGGGCGCUGUCUCGGCAGCAGACUCGGUGAAAUCUUAGUACCUGUGAAAAUGCAGGUUACCCGCAACUAGACGGAAAGACCCCAUGGAGCUUUACUGCAGCCUGAUAUUGAAUUCUGGUCAUACAUGUACAGGAUAGGUGGGAGACAAAGAGACGUGCACGCCAGUGUACGAGGAGUCGACGUUGGGAUACCACUCUUGUGUGACCGGGGUUCUAACCUGGUAUCGAGAACAGGUACGGGGAGAGUGUCAGGUGGGCAGUUUGACUGGGGCGGUCGCCUCCCAAAGAGUAACGGAGGCGCCCAAAGGUACGCUCAGAUUGGAUGGAAACCAAUCGUCGAGUGCAAUUGCAGAAGCGUGCUUGACUGUGAGACAGACAAGUCGAACAGGGACGAAAGUCGGGAAUAGUGAUCCGGCGGUGCCGAAUGGAAGGGCCGUCGCUCAACGGAUAAAAGCUACCCUGGGGAUAACAGGCUGAUCUCGCCCAAGAGUUCACAUCGACGGCGAGGUUUGGCACCUCGAUGUCGGCUCAUCGCAUCCUGGAGCUGGAUUCGGUUCCAAGGGUUGGGCUGUCCGCCCAUUAAAGCGGUACGCGAGCUGGGUUCAGAACGUCGUGAGACAGUUCGGUCCCUAUCUGUUGUGGGCGAAGGAGAUCUGCGGAGAGCUGUCCUCAGUACGAGAGGACCGGGAUGGACCUACCGCUGGUGCACCGGUUGUUCCGCCAGGGGCAUAGCCGGGUAGCUAAGUAGGGAAAGGAUAAGCGCUGAAAGCAUCUAAGCACGAAGCCUACUCCAA
rnacentral:rRNA from 1 species